CCUACGGGAGGCAGCAGUGAGGAAUAUUGGUCAAUGGACGGAAGCCUGAACCAGCCAUGCCGCGUGCAGGAAGACGGCUCUAUGAGUUGUAAACUGCUUUUGUACAAGGGUAAACCUGAAUACGUGUAUUCAGCUGAAAGUACUGUACGAAUAAGGAUCGGCUAACUCCGUGCCAGCAGCCGCGGUAAUACGGAGGAUCCAAGCGUUAUCCGGAUUUAUUGGGUUUAAAGGGUGCGUAGGCGGAUUGAUAAGUUAGAGGUGAAAUGUCCGAGCUUAACUCGGGAACUGCCUCUAAUACUGUUGAUCUAGAGAGUAGGUGCGGUAGGCGGAAUGUAUGGUGUAGCGGUGAAAUGCUUAGAGAUCAUACAGAACACCGAUUGCGAAGGCAGCUUACCAAUCUAUAUCUGACGUUGAGGCACGAAAGCGUGGGGAGCAAACAGGAUUAGAUACCCGGGUAGUC
rnacentral:rRNA from 1 species